rnacentral:rRNA from 1 species
UACGGGGGGGGGCAAGCGUUGUUCGGAAUUACUGGGCGUAAAGGGCUCGUAGGCGGCCAACUAAGUCAGACGUGAAAUCCCCAGGCUUAACCUGGGAACUGCGUCUGAUACUGGAUGGCUUGAAUUCGGGAGAGGGAUGCAGAAUUCCAGGUGUAGCGGUGAAAUGCGAAGAUAUUCGGAAGAACACCGGUGGCGAAAGCGACCUUCUGGGCCAUUACUGACGCUGAGGUACGAAAGCUUGGGGAGCGAACGGG